ensembl:snoRNA
UACUGGAGUGAUGAAAAAUGUAUCUUCAGGUGUGGCUGUGGCUACCUUGCCCACCUGUGUGUCACUUGCCCAUGCAAGGACUUGUCAUAGUUACACUGACUGUUA